rnacentral:rRNA from 1 species
UAGCUCGCCGAAAGGCGAAUUAAUACCGCAUGUGGUCAGGGAGGGAUUCCUCCGACACCAAAGCUGGGGCAACCUAGCGCUUCCUGAUGAGCCCGCGGCCUAUCAGCUUGUUGGCGGGGUAACGGCCCACCAAGGCGAUGACGGGUAGCUGGUCUGAGAGGACGACCAGCCACACUGGAACUGAGACACGGUCCAGACACCUACGGGUGGCAGCAGUCGAGAAUUUUUCUCAAUGGGGGGCAACCCUGAAGGAGCGACGCCGCGUGGAGGAUGAAGGUCUUCGGAUUGUUAAAAACCUCCUGUCAUUAGAGAACAAACUGCACGGCUUAACUGGCUGUGCACUGAUAGUAUCUGAAGAGGAAGAGACGGCUAACUCUGUGCCAGCAGCCGC